AAACUCAACCCUCGUUAGCACUCAAUUCCUCGGUACCCCAGUAUCAGCACCAGUAGCCAGUUGGGUAAUUGCUGUCUCAGUACUCGUUGGAAUUCUCCUCCUGGCACUUCUCAUAUUCGCUCUUAUCAAACUGGGAUUCUUCAAGAGAAAGCACAAAGAGCAAUUGGAAGAAUUGAAGGCAGACGCCGACAAAAAGGGAGGACUGGUGAUCGAAACGUCGUCCUCCAGGGAAUUCCUUGAUCAGGACUAAUUAAUUCAUGAAUGCAGAUUUGUUAUUAAUUUAAGUUGACGAUGAAAACGCUAUAAAAUCUAAUAUCAUUUGAGAAGAAAUCAUAUUAAUGAUUCACUGACGUUCCCCACAUCGAUGUGUCAUCGGUCUCGCAAAAAAAGAGAGGGGAAAUAGUAUUUUAUGACAGAGACAACUUGUCUUAUUUAAUGACGCUCUCUCCUCUGUGUAAACAGUCACUCAGUUAAAUGAUGUAAGCCUUUGGUUUCUGGAAGACUUACAUCCUUCCUCUGUCCGGUGUACAGCUCAUUUCGAUCUUACCAUCUCAAUGAAUAAUCGUGUCUCUAAAAUAAUCUGAAUCUGCCCAUAAUAUUGAAUAAAAAUGCUCCAUUGGACAGUGAA